rnacentral:rRNA from 1 species
AUUGAACGCUGGCGGCAGGCUUAACACAUGCAAGUCGAGCGAGCGGCGGACGGGUGAGUAAUGUCUGGGAAACUGCCUGAUGGAGGGGGAUAACUACUGGAAACGGUAGCUAAUACCGCAUACCAUCAGAUGUGCCCAGAUGGGAUUAGCUAGUAGGUGGGGUACUGGCUCACCUAGGCGACGAUCCCUAGCUGGUCUGAGAGGAUGACCACCCACAUGGAAAUGGAGACACGGCCAAGACGCCUAGGUGAGGCAGCAGUGGGGAUUAUGGCAAAAGGGGCGAAAGCCUGAGGCAGCCAGGCAGGUUGUUUGAAGAAGGCCUUCGGUUUGUAAAGAAUUUUCAGCGAGGAGGCGUUAUCCGCAGAAGAAGCACCGGCUAACCCCGUGCAAGCGGCGGCGGUAAUAC